rnacentral:lncRNA from 1 species
GUUAGAGUAAUCUUGAGUUUGUUAGCUUACGAGUUAGAGUCUUGUACGUAGUAGUUGUCUACGUGCUAGUAGUGAAUCUGAGUUCGGCUAGGAGUCUGGAUGUGUUCUAAUGUACGCUGGGAGGUAGAGUCCUAGUUGUAAUUAGAUUAGAUUAGGAGUCCAAGCAUAGUUAGAGAUGUUGAGGUCGGUAGCACCUGUCCGGUUGCUGCAUAUAUAUAUGCAGGUAGUAUACGUGAGAUUUGUACUGGUGCUAGAGAAAAAGGAGAGAAUAAAAAGAGAAGAGAGGCACGACACGUGCCUUUGACAAAAGUUUUGCGUGUGCGUAUUCAUCAUGAUUUGAUGUGAUCGAUCCUGUGGGCAGAAUUCCAACAAUUGGUAUCUGAGCUAGGUCGAUUUGAAGCCACGCUUGCCCCGGGGUUGCGACCCGACUAGCGCCUCGGGGCGGGCGAUAUGGUCGCUGGGUGGUGCAGCGACGAGGAGCGGCGGGCAAUGUUGUCGCUGGGUGCUGCAGCGAUGAGGAGGAUCGGGAGAUUGUCCUUCGGCGGAGCGACAUGGAGGAAGACUGUGGGAUGUCGUCGGCAAGGCGGCGGAUGGAGAUCGUUGACGGGAGCGGUGGUGCGGUGAUGCGGUGCCGAAAAGUCGUCAAGAUCGUGAUCUGGGAGUUAGAGUCAAGGAGUUGUGCGGGUUAGCACGGUCAGUCGGUCAGUCGGUCAUCGUCAUCAUGUCCAAGUAUUUGUCUUUGUGAGGAGGCGUUGAAGAUGAAGCCCAGGUCGUCUAUGUGUCUUGACGAGAGGAUCAAGUUCAAAUAUGUGGGGGCAGUAAACCAGUGAAGGUGAGUCUCUUCAAUGAGGCCAUGUCUCUACAUGAGGCUGGAGUGCAUGGUGUAGUGCACAGGGUGGUGUGAUCCGCAAGGAGUCGGCAUGUAUCUCGCUAGGGUGGAUGGUGUAGUCCACCGGGUGGAGUUUUCCACAGGUUACUGGCGAGGCUGGGUAGUCCAAGGCAUAUUUGAGGUGGUCUGUAAAUUCGCCAAGUUAAAAUUAGGAAGAGAUUGUUGCAGUCGAUGAAGCCUAUCAAUUUAACUUGUCGUGGUGCGAGCGGAUGAGUCGACAAAGGGUCAAUCGUCAACGCGACAAAAACCAGAGAAGCACAGAAGACAUGAAGUCAAGAUUAGGAAGAGAAUGUUAGAGUAAUCUUGAGUUUGUUAGCUUACGAGUUAGAGUCUUGUACGUAGUAGUUGUCUACGUGCUAGUAGUGAAUCUGAGUUCGGCUAGGAGUCUGGAUGUGUUCUAAUGUACGCUGGGAGGUAGAGUCCUAGUUGUAAUUAGAUUAGAUUAGGAGUCCAAGCAUAGUUAGAGAUGUUGAGGUCGGUAGCACCUGUCCGGUUGCUGCAUAUAUAUAUAUGCAGGUAGUAUACGUGAGAUUUGUACUGGUGCUAGA